GACGAACGCUGGCGGCGUGCCUAAUACAUGCAAGUAGAACGCUGAAGGAGGAGCUUGCUUCUCUGGAUGAGUUGCGAACGGGUGAGUAACGCGUAGGUAACCUGCCUGGUAGCGGGGGAUAACUAUUGGAAACGAUAGCUAAUACCGCAUAAGAGUAGAUGUUGCAUGACAUUUGCUUAAAAGGUGCAAUUGCAUCACUACCAGAUGGACCUGCGUUGUAUUAGCUAGUUGGUGGGGUAACGGCUCACCAAGGCGACGAUACAUAGCCGACCUGAGAGGGUGAUCGGCCACACUGGGACUGAGACACGGCCCAGACUCCUACGGGAGGCAGCAGUAGGGAAUCUUCGGCAAUGGACGGAAGUCUGACCGAGCAACGCCGCGUGAGUGAAGAAGGUUGUCGGAUCGUAAAGCUCUGUUGUAAGAGAAGAGCGAGUGUGAGAGUGGAAAGUUCACACUGUGACGGUAUCUUACCAGAAAGGGACGGCUAACUACGUG
rnacentral:rRNA from 1 species